AAGUCGUAACAAGGUUUCCGUAGGUGAACCUGCGGAAGGAUCAUUAACACGUUAAAUCCCCCCCGUGAAUCUUCAUCCUGCUAACCCCACAGUUUAAUGUGAAGCUCAAUGUAAUACAUUGGGUAAAAAAACCGAACAACUGUUAACAAUGGAUAUCUUGGUUCUC
rnacentral:misc_RNA from 1 species